rnacentral:tRNA from 1 species
CAUUAGAUAACUUAAAGCAAGUGUAGGUCUCUUAAACCAUAUAAUAAUAAGUAGCGGCUAUUUCUAAUGA